UACGUAGGUGGCAAGCGUUGUCCGGAUUUAUUGGGCGUAAAGCGAGCGCAGGUGGUUUCUUAAGUCUGAUGUGAAAGUCCACGGCUCAACCGUGGAAGGUCAUUGGAAACUGGGGAACUUGAAUGCAGAAGAGGAGAGUGGAAUUCCAUGUGUAGCGGUGAAAUGUGUAGAUAUAUGGAGGAACACUAGUGGCGAAGGCGACUCUCUGGUCUGUUAUUGACACUGAGGCUCGAAAGCGUGGGGGGCAAACAGG
rnacentral:rRNA from 1 species